rnacentral:rRNA from 1 species
GAGGCUGGCGGCGCGCCUAACACAUGCAAGUCGAACGGCUCCUAUCUUCGGAUAGAAGCGAGUGGCGAACGGCUGAGUAACACGUGGAGAACCUGCCCCCUCCCCCGGGAUAGCCGCCCGAAAGGACGGGUAAUACCGGAUACCCCGGGGUGCCGCAUGGCACCCCGGCUAAAGCCCCGACGGGAGGGGAUGGCUCCGCGGCCCAUCAGGUAGACGGCGGGGUGACGGCCCACCGUGCCGACAACGGGUAGCCGGGUUGAGAGACCGACCGGCCAGAUUGGGACUGAGACACGGCCCAGACUCCUACGGGAGGCAGCAGUGGGGAAUCUUGCGCAAUGGGGGGAACCCUGACGCAGCGACGCCGCGUGCGGGACGGAGGCCUUCGGGUCGUAAACCGCUUUCAGCAGGGAAGAGUCAAGACUGUACCUGCAGAGGAAGCCCCGGCUAACUACGUGCCAGCAGCCGCGGUAAUACGUAGGGGGCGAGCGUUAUCCGGAUUCAUUGGGCGUAAAGCGCGCGUAGGCGGCCCGGCAGGCCGGGGGUCGAAGCGGGGGGCUCAACCCCCCGAAGCCCCCGGAACCUCCGCGGCUUGGGUCCGGUAGGGGAGGGUGGAACACCCGGUGUAGCGGUGGAAUGCGCAGAUAUCGGGUGGAACACCGGUGGCGAAGGCGGCCCUCUGGGCCGAGACCGACGCUGAGGCGCGAAAGCUGGGGGAGCGAACAGGAUUAGAUACCCUGGUAGUCCCAGCCGUAAACGAUGGACGCUAGGUGUGGGGGGACGAUCCCCCCGUGCCGCAGCCAACGCAUUAAGCGUCCCGCCUGGGGAGUACGGCCGCAAGGCUAAAACUCAAAGGAAUUGACGGGGGCCCGCACAAGCAGCGGAGCAUGUGGCUUAAUUCGAAGCAACGCGAAGAACCUUACCAGGGCUUGACAUAUGGGUGAAG